GCUUCUAUGGCUCAGUUGGUAGAGCGCGUGACUAGUAAUCACGAGGUCCGCGGUUCGAAUCCGCGUGGAAGCA
rnacentral:tRNA from 1 species